GACGAACGCUGGCGGCGUGCUUAACACAUGCAAGUCGAACGCUGAAGCUUGGUGCUUGCACUGGGUGGAUGAGUGGCGAACGGGUGAGUAAUACGUGAGUAACCUGCCCUUGACUCUGGGAUAAGCCUGGGAAACUGGGUCUAAUACUGGAUACGACAUGCCACUGCAUGGUGGUGUGUGGAAAGGGUUUUUCUGGUUUUGGAUGGGCUCACGGCCUAUCAGCUUGUUGGGGGGGUAAUGGCCUACCAAGGCGACGACGGGUAGCCGGCCUGAGAGGGUGACCGGCCACACUGGGACUGAGACACGGCCCAGACUCCUACGGGAGGCAGCAGUGGGGAAUAUUGCACAAUGGGCGGAAGCCUGAUGCAGCGACGCCGCGUGAGGGAUGACGGCCUUCGGGGUGUAAACCUCUUUCAGCACGGAAGAAGCGAGAGUGACGGUACGUGCAGAAGAAGCGCCGGCUAACUACGUG
rnacentral:rRNA from 1 species